CUGCGUACCUUUUGUAUAAUGGGUCAGCGACUUAUAUUCUGUAGCAAGGUUAACCGAAUAGGGGAGCCGGAGGGAAACCGAGUCUUAAUUGGGCGUUAAGUUGCAGGGUAUAGACCCGAAACCCGGUGAUCUAGCCAUGGGCAGGUUGAAGGUUGGGUAACACUAACUGGAGGACCGAACCGACUAAUGUUGAAAAAUUAGCGGAUGACCUGUGGCUGGGGGUGAAAGGCCAAUCAAACCGGGAGAUAGCUGGUUCUCCCCGAAAGCUAUUUAGGUAGCGCCUCGUGAAUUCAUCUCCGGGGGUAGAGCACUGUUUCGGCUAGGGGGCCAUCCCGGCUUACCAACCCGAUGCAAACUGCGAAUACCGGAGAAUGUUAUCACGGGAGACACACGGCGGGUGCUAACGUCCGUCGUGAAGAGGGAAACAACCCAGACCGCCAGCUAAGGUCCCAAAGUCAUGGUUAAGUGGGAAACGAUGUGGGAAGGCCCAGACAGCCAGGAUGUUGGCUUAGAAGCAGCCAUCAUUUAAAGAAAGCGUAAUAGCUCACUGGUCGAGUCGGCCUGCGCGGAAGAUGUAACGGGGCUAAACCAU
rnacentral:rRNA from 1 species